rnacentral:rRNA from 1 species
AGAGUUUGAUCCUGGCUCAGAACAAACGCUGGCGGCGUGCAUAACACAUGCAAGUCUAACGGGAAUGUCGGCUUCGGCUGACUAGUACCGUGGCGAACGGGUGAGUAACACGUGGGUAAUCUAACCUCGAGUUUGGGAUAACCUUGCGAAAGCGGGGCUAAUACCGAAUAAGACCACGCCUGGUUCGCCAGGUGCGGUAAAAGGUGGCCUCUUCUUGAAAGCUAUCACUUGAGGAUGAGCCCGCGGCCUAUUAGCUAGUUGGUGGGGUAAUGGCCUACCAAGGCGACGAUGGGUAGCCGGCCUGAGAGGGUGUACGGCCACACUGGCACUGAGAUACGGGCCAGACUCCUACGGGAGGCAGCAGUGGGGAAUUUUGCGCAAUGGGGGAAACCCUGACGCAGCAACGCCGCGUGAGUGAUGAAGGCCUUCGGGUCGUAAAGCUCUGUCAAGUGGAAAGAAAGGCCGAUGGAAUAAUACGCCAUCGGAUUGACGGUACCACUAAAGGAAGCACCGGCUAACUCUGUGCCAGCAGCCGCGGUAAUACAGAGGGUGCGAGCGUUGUUCGGAAUUACUGGGCGUAAAGGGCGCGUAGGCGGCUUUAUAAGUCAGAUGUGAAAGCCCACGGCUUAACCGUGGAAGAGCAUCUGAUACUGUGAGGCUUGAGUAUGGGAGAGGAAAGUGGAAUUCCCGGUGUAGAGGUGAAAUUCGUAGAUAUCGGGAGGAACACCUGUGGCGAAAGCGACUUUCUGGACCAAUACUGACGCUGAGGCGCGAAAGCGUGGGGAGCAAACAGGAUUAGAUACCCUGGUAGUCC